rnacentral:rRNA from 1 species
GACGAACGCUGGCGGCGUGCUUAACACAUGCAAGUCGAGCGAGGCCCUCCUCUUCGGAGGAGGUGUCCUAGCGGCGAACGGGUGAGUAACACGUGGGCAACCUGCCCUCCACUCUGGGAUAACCCCGGGAAACCGGAGCUAAUACCGGAUAUGACCUCGGAAGACAUCUUCUGAGGUGGAAAGAAUUUCGGCGGAGGAUGGGCCCGCGGCCUAUCAGCUUGUUGGUGGGGUAACGGCCUACCAAGGCGACGACGGGUAGCCGGCCUGAGAGGGCGACCGGCCACACUGGGACUGAGACACGGCCCAGACUCCUACGGGAGGCAGCAGUGGGGAAUAUUGCGCAAUGGGCGAAAGCCUGACGCAGCGACGCCGCGUGAGGGACGAAGGCCUUCGGGUUGUAAACCUCUUUCAGCAGGGACGAAGCGAAAGUGACGGUACCUGCAGAAGAAGCACCGGCCAACUACGUGCCAGCCGCCGCAGUAACAC